UACGUAGGGCGCAAGCGUUGUCCGGAAUUAUUGGGCGUAAAGAGCUCGUAGGUGGCGUGUCGCGUCUGCCGUGAAAGCCCAUGGCUUAACUGUGGGUCUGCGGUGGAUACGGGCAGGCUGGAGGCUGGUAGGGGCAAGCGGAAUUCCUGGUGUAGCGGUGAAAUGCGCAGAUAUCAGGAGGAACACCGGUGGCGAAGGCGGCCCGCUGGGCAGGAAGGCUCGCAAGAGCCGGCUGACGCUGAGGCGCGACAGCGUGGGGAGCAAACAGG
rnacentral:rRNA from 1 species